rnacentral:rRNA from 1 species
GACGAACCGAGCGAACGUUGUUCGGAAUCACUGGGCUUAAAGGGCGCGUAGGCGGAUUCUCAAGUCCGGGGUGAAAUCCCACAGCUCAACUGUGGAACUGCCUCGGAUACUGGGAGUCGUCGAGGGUGGCAGGGGUAGUCGCGGAACUAUCGGUGGAGCGGUGAAAUGCGUUGAUAUCGAUAGGAACUCCGGUGGCGAAGGCGGCAUACUGGUCCACUUCUGACGCUG